rnacentral:lncRNA from 1 species
GCGCUUUAAUCUCUUUUUAUUUGGCUCUGUUAAACAAAUUAUCUUUCAUCUCUAAUUAAAUUUUAAAAUCAAUAGGCUGGUAACUAACCAGAAAACCUCACGGUUAAUUUAGUUACCAGGCCCAAUAUUUAUUAAACAGUGUGUCAACUAUUCAUAUUUAUUAUUCUACCUAUUAUUUAAGAAUUAAUUGUUGAUAUUUGUAAUUUUCAAAAAGGGCAAAAUAUAUUUAUUAUUAUUAUCUAAGAAUGCAAGAAAAGGUAUUUCAGAGACCCAAAUUUUAAAAAUUUCCUGGAGGAGG